rnacentral:rRNA from 1 species
CCUACGGGAGACAGCAGUGGGGAAUAUUGCACAAUGGGGGAAACCCUGAUGCAGCGACGCCGCGUGAAGGAAGAAGGAUUUCGGGAUGUAAACUUCUAUCAGCAGGGAAGAAAAUGACGGUACCUGACUAAGAAGCCCCGGCGAACUACGUGCCAGCAGCCGCGGUAAUACGUAGGGGGCAAGCGUUAUCCGGAUUUACUGGGUGUAAAGGGAGCGGAGGCGGUUUAGCAAGUCAGAAGUGAAAGCCCGGGGCUCAACUCCGGGACUGCUUUUGAAACUGUUGAACUAGAUUGCAGGAGAGGUAAGUGGAAUUCCUCGUGUAGCGGUGACAUGCGUAGAUCUUAGGAGGCACCCCAGUGGCGCCGGCGGCUUACUGGACUGUAACUGACGCUGCGGCUCGACAGCGUGGGGAGCAAACCGGAUUCGCUACCCUUGUAGUC